AGCGAACGCUGGCGGCAGGCUUAACACAUGCCAGUCGAGCGGGCCUUUCGGGGUCAGCGGCGGACGGGUGAGUAACGCGUGGGAACGUGCCCUCUGGUUCGGAAUAACUCAGGGAAACUUGAGCUAAUACCGGAUACGCCCUUUUGGGGAAAGGCUUGCUGCCGGAGGAUCGGCCCGCGUCUGAUUAGCUAGUUGGUGAGGUAACGGCUCACCAAGGCGACGAUCAGUAGCUGGUCUGAGAGGAUGAUCAGCCACACUGGGACUGAGACACGGCCCAGACUCCUACGGGAGGCAGCAGUGGGGAAUAUUGGACAAUGGGCGCAAGCCUGAUCCAGCCAUGCCGCGUGAGUGAUGAAGGCCUUAGGGUUGUAAAGCUCUUUUAUCCGGGACGAUAAUGACGGUACCGGAGGAAUAAGCCCCGGCUAACUUCGUG
rnacentral:rRNA from 1 species